rnacentral:rRNA from 1 species
AAGUCGAACGCUGAAGCUCAGCUUUUGUUGGGUGGAUGAGUGGCGAACGGGUGAGUAACACGUGAGUAACCUGCCCCCUUCUUUGGGAUAACGCCCGGAAACGGGUGCUAAUACUGGAUAUUCACUGGCCUUCGCAUGGGGGUUGGUGGAAAGGGUUUUUCUGGUGGGGGAUGGGCUCGCGGCCUAUCAGCUUGUUGGUGGGGUGAUGGCCUACCAAGGCUUUGACGGGUAGCCGGCCUGAGAGGGUGACCGGUCACAUUGGGACUGAGAUACGGCCCAGACUCCUACGGGAGGCAGCAGUGGGGAAUAUUGCACAAUGGGCGCAAGCCUGAUGCAGCGACGCCGCGUGAGGGAUGGAGGCCUUCGGGUUGUGAACCUCUUUCGCUCAUGGUCAAGCCGCAACAAUGGUUGUGGUGAGGGUAGUGGGUAAAGAAGCGCCGGCUAACUACGUGCCAGCAGCCGCGGUAAUACGUAGGGCGCGAGCGUUGUCCGGAAUUAUUGGGCGUAAAGGGCUUGUAGGCGGUUGGUCGCGUCUGCCGUGAAAUCCUCUGGCUUAACUGGGGGCGUGCGGUGGGUACGGGCUGACUUGAGUGCGGUAGGGGAGACUGGAACUCCUGGUGUAGCGGUGGAAUGCGCAGAUAUCAGGAAGAACACCGGUGGCGAAGGC